UACAGAGGUCCCAAGCGUUGUUCGGAUUCACUGGGCGUAAAGAGUGUGUAGGCGGUGCUCUAAGUUCGGUGUGAAAUCUCCCGGCUUAACUGGGAGGGUGCGCCGGAAACUGGAGUGCUUGAGCGCGGGAGAGGAAAGCGGAAUUCCUGGUGUAGCGGUGAAAUGCGUAGAUAUCAGGAGGAACACCUGUGGUGUAGACGGCUUUCUGGACCGUAGCUGACGCUGAGACACGAAAGCGUGGGUAGCAAACAGG
rnacentral:rRNA from 1 species